rnacentral:lncRNA from 1 species
UUUCUCACAGAUGAAGGAAUGUGUGCAAGAACUUGAAUUCUCUCUCGGUAGAAGAAAACGUGGCAUCACAUCUGAAGUUGAGGUUUACAUGGAAUCUAGAAAGAAGUUGAGCAAAGUUAUUAUCAAAUAUCUGAGGUAUUUGAAGAGAAAGGAGAGGAAUAGCACAUCAGAAGCCAUGGACAAUAACUCCAACUUGACAAACAUGAUUAGCAUAUUAACAAGAGUCCAAGAAAUUAGCCUUGGAGAGUUCCAGUCAAUAUUAUCUUUCAUUUCUCAGCCAAAGGCAAAAUCAAAGCCCUUUGGCUGGUCCAUCAUCUCAAAAGCAUUGCAAUCAAAGCGGGUAUCAUGUGAAGUGGAAACUGAAGUGAAUGAAGUAGAGAAGCUUGACGCUGAAUUGCUUACCCUGAAGUCAAGCAAAGACAUCAGUAUUUCACAACUUCAAAGCCUUCUUAAAGGAUUGGAGGCUUUGGGGUCAAGCAUUCAAGAAGCUGAGGAGGAGCUAGAAUGUAUUUACAGGCUAUUGGUGAAAACUAGAGUAUCCCUUCUCAACAUCCUCAACCAUUAGUGGGGUUGCUUCCACAAACUCCCCUACACAAUUUGUAUCAGACAAAUUCAGUUCCCAAUUGUAGAUAUGUAUACACACAGAAAAUGAAAGCAAAGAUUUCUAUAUUCAGAUUCAGAACAUCUCCAAUUUGCUCACUUUCUCCUCUUUAUAUUAUAUUCAACUGCUAAAGUAGCUCAAAGAAUUUUUACAAAGUUAGAUUUAGAAGAAUCAACAUAGUAUUCUAACAAGAUCUUGAGAAGCACUGUUUAUAUCUAUAGCCAGGGGAAUCAACAUGUUUUCUGCUGCUUGGAGUUGGUUAACCUGAGAUGGAAAAAGAAUAAAUUGCAGGAUGAAUAAUUUUAAUUUAGUGGAAAAUGCUAUCCUUUGUAAAAAUUUUCAAAAUUAUCAUUAAGAUUUUAUAACUUAAACCAUCUGAAAAAAAAAAAAAAAUGGAAAGUAAACCCUGAAAGGACUUUUGUUUCAUUUCCAAGGAAGUUAAACAAGGCCUUUUGUUCACCCAUGAAUUGGUACAAGUAUUGCUAAAUGUGAUGCAUAGACUAUUUUGUCUAAUAAUUUAGACAAGGCUGUCAAGAUUCUUGCUGCUUCAUAAUCAAUUGGUAUUCAAGUAAUAAAAGAAAUUGAACAAUUAUUGUGAGCUAAUGCAUCCCCUUUUGGGUCAAAUUAUUCUAGUCAUGCAAAUGAAGUAGGUAAUAUUUUCAGAAACCUGAAGGAAAUUAUCUAAUAAUUACAUCUUAAAUUAUUGAAGUUGGGUUCAUGCAUGGGCUAUUUGUCCACUAAUAACGGUAUGAUUACUUGCGCAUGUUCAAACUUAAAGCUGUUCAAUUUGAGGGAGAUCUCUCUACCUGGAGUCAUGGCAGCAGAUACUGAACCUGAAAAAUUAUAAUCAAUCAGGCUUGGACAGCAAGACCAUUUGCAUAUUCAUAUUUUUUAUUAGACUUCCCUGCAGAUAAGAAAAAUGGCAUCAUCUCCCUUGGACUGCAAAGAACAAGAAAAGCAGGUCUUCUUGACAGUGCAUUUGUCAUCCAAUUUUCAACUUGUAUUUAUGAUCUUGUAAUCCAACCCUAACAGGGUGGAGAUUCCUUUUUUGUUGCAAGUCAG